rnacentral:rRNA from 1 species
GACGAACGCUGGCGGCGUGCUUAACACAUGCAAGUCGAACGGAAAGGCCCUGCUUUUGUGGGGUGCUCGAGUGGCGAACGGGGGAGUAACACGUGAGUAACCUGCCCUUGACUUUGGGAUAACUUCAGGAAACUGGGGCUAAUACCGGAUAGGAGCUCCUGCUGCAUGGUGGGGGUUGGAAAGUUUCGGCGGUUGGGGAUGGACUCGCGGCUUAUCAGCUUGUUGGUGGGGUAGUGGCGUACCAAGGCUUUGACGGGUAGCCCGCAUGGGAGGGUGACCGGGCACAUGGGGACUGAGAUAGGGCCCAGACUGCUACGGGAGGCAGCAGUGGGGAAUAUUGCGCAAUGGGCGGAAGCCUGAUGCAGCAACGUCGCGUGCGGGAUGACGGGUUUCGGGUGGUAAACCGCUUUCGCCUGUGACGAAGCGUGAGUGACGGUAAUGGGUAAAGAAGCACCGGCUAACUACGUG